rnacentral:rRNA from 1 species
UACGAGGGGUGCAAACGUUAUUCGGAAUCACUGGGCGUAAAGGGUGCGUAGACGGCGAGAUAAGUCGAUCAUUAAAUCUCCUAGCUUAACUAGGAAUCUGUGAUCGAAACUGACUUGCUUGAGGAUGGAAGAGAGAAGUGGAAUUCUCGGAGUAGCGGUAAAAUGCGUAGAUCUCGAGAGGAACACCGAUGGCGAAGGCAGCUUCUUGGUCCAUUUCUGACGUUGAGGCACGAAAGCGUGGGGAGCAAACAGG